GUGUCAGCAGCCGCGGUAACACGUAGGGGGCGAGCGUUGUCCGGAAUCAUUGGGCGUAAAGAGCUCGUAGGCGGCUCGGUAAGUCGGGUGUGAAACCCCCAGGCUCAACCUGGGGACGCCACCCGAUACUGCUGUGGCUAGAGUCCAGUAGGGGAGUGUGGAAUUCCCGGUGUAGCGGUGAAAUGCGCAGAUAUCGGGAGGAACACCAGCGGCGAAGGCGGCACUCUGGGCUGGAACUGACGCUGAGGAGCGAAAGCGUGGGUAGCAAACAGGAUUAGAAACCCCCGUAGUCC
rnacentral:rRNA from 1 species